GACGAACGCUGGCGGCGUGCCUAAUACAUGCCAGUCGAACGCACAGUUUAUACCGUAGCUUGCUACACCAUAGACUGUGAGUUGCGAACGGGUGAGUAACGCGUAGGUAACCUGCCUGGUAGCGGGGGAUAACUAUUGGAAACGAUAGCUAAUACCGCAUAAUAUUGAUUAUUGCAUGAUAAUUGAUUGAAAGAUGCUAUUGCAUCACUACCAGAUGGACCUGCGUUGUAUUAGCUAGUAGGUGAGGUAACGGCUCACCUAGGCGACGAUACAUAGCCGACCUGAGAGGGUGAUCGGCCCCACUGGGACUGAGACACGGCCCAGACUCCUACGGGAGGCAGCAGUAGGGAAUCUUCGGCAAUGGACGAAAGUCUGACCGAGCAACGCCGCGUGAGUGAAGAAGGUUUUCGGGUCGUAAAGCUCUGUUGUAAGAGAAGAACGGGUGUGAGAGUGGAAAGUUCACACUGUGACGGUAUCUUACCAGAAAGGGACGGCUAACUACGUG
rnacentral:rRNA from 1 species